CAAAUGAGACUAACAAUUCUGGUGAAAGACUCCACCUUCAAAAUGAAACUUAAAGCAAAUGCAACAAUGGUGGAACUCUCAUCACCUCAAUAGAAACUUCUUUACAUGUAAGGAUUGAAAACCAUUUUUGAGAAAAAGGGAAUCUCCAUGGAAAUGGAGAAAAUCGACCCAACCUCUUUGUCAUCAGCAUUCCUAAUUCACAACCAGCCUAAUCCUGGUAUACAUGUUCAGUAAUACCAAAAUGAGCCAUGAGAAGCCAGACAUGAGUGAGCAGCUCUCCACCUUGCGUAAGCUCCUUGGCAUGUUCAUUCCGUGGACAGUGACAUGCAGCAUAACAUAGCAUCUCUACCCACACAUGACUCAUCAUCUCCCAUUUCUUUUCACAGUUCCAUUCCUCUUCUGUCUCCAGGGAUUGCAAUGACUUGGCGAGCCUACAGGCUUCGGAUAACACUGACUUGCUUCUAUCUCCUUUCACUUUCAAUGGUGGAAUUUCAAGGUUCACUUGAAGGACUAACCUUUUACAAGCUUGGAUUCUAUCUUUUACACUAUGAAAAAUCUUUGUGGCCUCAUCACAGCUGUGUUGAAAUCGGAUUUGUCCAAUUCCAUUAGGCAGCAUAAAGGGGCGCUUGACCAGAAGAUACACCAUAUAAUCUGAUACCAGCUUGCUUGCUUCACGGUUUGAGUUCUCCGUAGGGCUUGAUUUUUUGUUUAGAUCACUAUAGUAGCAGAGAUCAGUUGCCACGUGCCAGAGGAGAAUGCAGGCAUCGAAUUCUCCCUCAAUGCUCCAGCGUAACGUACAGAAACAUUUCAUCUCUUCUAGCGUCCGUUUUCCUCUGUCAGCACAUAAUUCCUUGGCUUCCUUAAUGCCUGGGGCAUGCCUUGAUUUCUCCUGAAGCUGUUCAAAGAUCAAUUUUUUCAAAUAUUUGGGGACAUCUGAAUUCUUAGAAGAGCACUCAUCCAACAUCCGAGGAAUGCAAAAGAACUUCCAGACCUCACUGAACUUGAUAGGCAAAUUUUUGAGGCUGUGACUUAUUAGAUUGUACCUUGCCAUGGAAUCAGACCAUCUCUUGUUUGCAGGGAAGAGAUAAGGUAGUCGGCAACUAGAUAUGGCUUCACAGAUCAGAGUCACUCGUGUUUUUCCUUGCUUGUUCAACCAAAUCAUGGUCCAGUCAGAGGAACACAGUAGAAUAAUAGAAUAAAUCUCCAGAACAAUUGCUCCAACCAGCAACAACCAUGUUAUAGUCACGUCAGUAGUUGAGUACUCAUUCUUGUCAAUUAUCAUGAAGCCGAUGAAUGUUGAGAUUGCUGAAAAUAGACAGAUGAAACGGAGUAGGACAUUGGAUUUAUCAUAAGCCUUCAUUGGCUUGGUAUAGAAGAUGUCAUACAUGAAUCCAAGCUCAAUCUCAAUCACUUUGACAGCUUCUGUCCAAGAUAUAUUAUUGAAGGAGGACUUGCUUUUUUCAAGGGUUGUCGGCUCAAGGACGAGAUCUGUAAACAAACGCUUGAACUUGGGGAAGAAUUUGUUAGCCUUUUGCAAGGGGUCUUCAUCUGGGAUACUUUGGUUACUGGGGUCUGGCGAAGGUAUAUUCACCACCUUAGAUGUUUCAAUUUCUGGCUGGCAUGAAACACAAUAUCCCUCAGCUCUCUUGCAAUCACACCCUGCCAUGAUUGCGGCAUAACUGAGCCCAUCAUACUCUGCCAUGAAUGCGGCAUAACAAGGCCCAUUACACUCACACGCACAGCUGUGCCCCUCAUCACCGUUCUCCUCAUCACUGGUCUCCUCAUGAGUGGUUUCCUCAUCACUGGUCUCCUCAUCAGUGGGAGGGAUCACGGAAUUUCUAAAAUGAUCGUUGCUUGCGGACCUUAGAAACCAUGUUUUCUCCCCAUACUUGAUCAGUCCUGUCACAAACAUUGGCAUGGUUAGAAUAUUGAGUGGUGUGCCCUUCCAGGACCUCAAAAAGAUGCUCAAUGCCCACAGAGACUUCAGGAAUAGGUGAAUCAAUUGUCUUCUCCAUAAUUCAUUGUCUUCCAAAGAAUAGGCUGUGAUGGUGUCCGGGCCUCCAAGGUUCUGUAGCAGAAAUGGUAGCCAAAAUGCCUUUUGUUGAAUUUUGACUUAGUAUUUGCUGGAAUUUGAAUUUUGAAUAUUGCAGCUGGAGUCUUGCACAAAAUCUGCAACAUCUAGAUAUUUUCUUAUUUUUAUUUGGUCAAGAUUUGGUUUCUAUUUUAUAGGAAGUAGUUAUUCAUCAUCUAGUAGCUUGAUUUUCUGCUAUUCUAAUGUCAUUUAAGUUACAAGUUCAUGUAUUGAUUCAGCACUCUUCAUCAAUAAAAUUAGAGCUCCGGUAGCCCAAAAAUAUAUAUUUUGUAUAAGUAUUUAAUCCAAAUACCAACAAAUUGGUAUCAGAGCCAUAGUUAUCUUGAGGGGCCAGUGAGGUGAGUGAACCCAAACACCUUCUAAAAUCAUUUAGCAAUGGAAGAGUCAAGUCUCACAGUUGCACCAUCAAUUCUUGAUGGAGACAAUUAUGAAACUUGGGCUGUUAGAAUGACAGUUCAUCUACAAGCACUUGAUGUUUGGGAAGCAGUGGAAGAAAAUUAUGAAGUUCCUCCCCUGGGAGCCAAUCCAACUGUGGCUUAAAUGAAGUUGCAUAAAGAAAGAAGGACAAGAAAGGCUAAAGCGAAAGCUUGCUUGUUUGCUGCAGUUUCACCAUCAAUUUUCAUCAAAAUCAUGAAAAUUGAUUCAGCUGCAGAAAUUUGGGAGUAUCUCAAGGAGGAAUACAAAGGAGAUGAAAGAAUCAAGAACAUGCAGGUGAUGAACUUGAUUCGAGAAUUUGAAAUGAAGAAAAUGAGGGAGUCUGAUGCUGUUAAAGACUAUGCUGCACAACUUCUUUCAAUAGCAGACAAAGUUAGGCUGCUUGGAAAAGAAUUUUCCAAUGAGAAGAUUGUUCAAAAGAUAUUGGUUACACUUCCUGAGAAAUAUGAAGCUACAAUUUCCUCUUUGGAGAAUUCAAAAGAUCUGUCAACUAUUAGCUUGACAGAAUUAUUACAUUCCUUGGAGGCUGUGGAACAAAGAAGACUCAUGAGACAAGGAGAUACUGCAGAAGGAGCAUUUCAAGCAAGAAUGCAGAAAAAUGCAGGCCAUAAAAAUGGAAAGGUGAACAACAACAAGUCGUGUGGCAACAACCAGAAAAAUGGAGUUUUUCCACCUUGUCCUCAUUGCAAGAAGACAAAUCAUUCUCCACAAAAAUGUUGGUGGAGACCAGAUGUGAAAUGCAACAAGUGUGGUAAACAAGGACAUGUGGAGAGGAUUUGCAAAAAUCAACAGCAGGAAGAAACUAGUGCAGCAGUUGACUAUUGUCAGGAGGAGCAAUUGUUUGUAGCAACGUGUUUUGCUAAUAAAAGCACCUCUAAAAGCUGGCUUGUGGAUAGUGGUUGUACAAACCACAUGACAAAUAAUCAAGAUCUCUUUAGAGAACUUGAUAGAACAACUAUUUCCAAAGUCAGAAUUGGAAAUGGUGAGUAUAUUCCAGUGAAGGGCAAAGGAACGGUUGCUAUCAAAAGCCAAACAGGUUUGAAACUCAUUUAUGAUGUUUUGUUUGUGCCUGACAUUGACCAAAACUUACUCAGUGUUGGACAGCUCGUUGAGAAAGAAUUUAAAGUUUAUUUUGAAGAUAGGAAUUGCAUUAUCAAGGAUGUUGAAGGCAAAGAGGUGUUCAACAUAAAAAUGAAGGGCAAGAGUUUUGCCUUGAAUUUACUGGAAGAUGAACAUACUGCUAUUUUACAACAAGAUAGCACAACAAUGUUUUGGGACAGAAGGGUCGAGCACUUUCAUCAUGAUGAUGUGCUCUACAUGAAGAAAAAUCAAAUAGUUGAAGGACUUCCUGAAUUAGAAAAAGAUCUUCCUAUAUGUGCUACUUGUCAAUAUGGGAAGCAAACUAAACUUCCCUUUCCAAAGAAAAUAUCCUGGAGAGCAACCCAAAAACUGCAACUGGUGUAUACUGAUGUUGGUGGAUCUCAAAAAAUGCCAUCCUUGAAAUGGAAUGCAAACAAUGUUUGGUGGAUCUCAAAAAAUGUCAUCCUUGAAAUGGAAUGCAAACAGUUUUGGGCUAAAACUGCAAGUAGAGCAGUAUAUUUUCUGAACAUAUUGCCAACAAAAGUGUUAAAGAAGCAGACCCCUUUCGAAGUUUGGUUUGAGUGUCUACGUGCAAGACUUGGAGUUUGCAUCUACGAAGUCAAGGAGGAGUGUUGAAUUUUGACUUAGUAUUUGCUGGAAUUUGAAUUUUGAAUAUUGCAGCUGGAGUCUUGCACAAAAUCUGCAACAUCUAGAUAUUUUCUUAUUUUUAUUUGGUCAAGAUUUGGUUUCUAUUUUAUAGGAAGUAGUUAUUCAUCAUCUAGUAGCUUGAUUUUAUGCUAUUCUAAUGUCAUUUAAGUUACAAGUUCAUGUAUAAAUUCAGCACUCUUCAUCAAUAAAAUUAGAGCUCCGGCAGCCCAAAAAUAUAUAUUUUGUAUAAGUAUUUAAUCCAAAUACCAACACCUUUAUCAUAUCGCUUUGUUGUGAUGAGUUAUCUUGGCACUUGACGAGUACGCCAAUAAAAAUAUCAAUCACCGCGUCUUUGGUUGUGUAAGCUAGGAAAAUGAUGCAUCUAAGCAAUUUUCCGGGUGUAUAUUUUCUCCUGUUGCCCAAGAGGACGAGCUCAAUUUGUGAGAGGAGGCUGACUAAAACAAAUCCACGGAGUAGCCAAUCAUUAAGAAGUCCAAUCACUGUUACGGGCAACAUUUCCUGGACGGUCCUCCUAUUCAUGAUGAUCAUGCAGCUAAUACCUGAAAAUAUAACAAACAAAAAAAAUUAUUGGAUUAAUACAGAAGAUCUGAAUGUCAAUUGAUAAUUAGAAGUGACAGAGUUGAAUGGACGAGGAACAGAAUUCAACAUGCUCAAAACCUAAUGGAUCUUUAUAGCUUUAAAAGUGGGAUAUAUCAUAAUGUGAUCCAUAUACAAUAUAAAUGUUGUCCAUUCUAAACCCAAUGGACCUUACGGUUUUAAACGAGGGAUAUCACAAUGAUUCCCAUAUAAACAUAACAUUGUCAUUGUUCCGUGGUAUUGCAAGGUGGAUGGAAAAAGUUUCACACCAGGGUUGAGGUUAAGGAUCACAUGUAGAGAAGCAUUGCAUUUGGAGGGAAUCACUCCUCUCCAUAUAGAUAUUGUUUGCUCUAGAUGCAAUUCGUGUCUAUAUGAUUAAGAUAAGUUAUACACUACUACAAACUUUUUUCCCUCUAAGAUGGUAUCACACUAUUAAUAAUUGAUUAAGUAAAAAAUUCAAAAUUUUGCAUCCUCUCUUGCUUUUAACACAGUGAUUAGCACAUCUAAGCAAAUUCUUCCGUGAGCACGUUUUUGGAAAUGGGGAGUGAUUUUUUUUUCAGAGGGUGUUUCUGAUUCAAAUAGUAAAACAAAAUGCACUUUUGAUUUCAAAUAAUGAAGGAAACUAAUUAAUUGCUUCGCUACAAACCAGAUUCCGACUUGCUUGCGUAGUAAAUAGACACUGGCUCAACUACAUGACAUUACAACUAAAUAGAAAAAUGGUUUUCUCAGCAACCAAACGGAGCUCAACCCAACACCCAAACUCAUUCAGAAUUCCACAAACUUACAAUGACAAUAACCUCAAACUCAUUAGUAUUCAUAAAGGCCAACAAACAAGGAUCAAACGGUAACAAAUUUGUAUGUAAUUGAGAUUAAAAAUUAAAAACAAUCUAGGCCAAAGAAAGCAUACCCACUUUUCUCCGAGUCUGUGAAUGUGAUGUGAGGGAGAGAGACACCAGGAAGUGUCAUGGGAGGUCAAGAGUGCAAGCAGAAAUAGUGAGUGAAGUCUUCCCUCCGUCAUUUUUUUUGGUGUGGCAUCUGAGUGAAGUAACGUGGAUCUCUCUGUCAUUUAAAAUAGAAAAAGAUGCAAGACAUUUUAUAAACUCUUGCAUUUUACGUUGGUCUGAAGCGAGUUCUGGGUGGCCCGAUGUUUCUCCGAGAUCCACAAAAUCCGAUUGCCUUAUGAAUUUUUAUAUAUUAACAUUAAGAUUUGAGCCGAUUGAAGUCAAAGUGGGAAUCUAUCAAUGUGGUUUGUUUUGAGUUAAUUACAAUAAUCGAUCCUAUAUUUUUAUCUGUUUGAUUCUUCUAGGCAACAAAAAACAAUUUCUUUUCUUAUUAAUUCAAGUGGCAAUCCUAAAUCCAAACAUUAUAUGUGAAAAAACUCAAAUAAUAUUAUCAUCAUAGGGAUGACAAUGGGCAGUUCUUUUGGGUAUCACCUCGCCUUGCUCCUAGUGGGAAAGGUUUGAGAUAAAGAUAAAGGUUUGAAGGAAGAUUCCACUUGUGACUGGGAUUAUGGGAAAUGUCAAGGAAGCUAUCCCUUUCUCUCCGGCUACAAGCUAUCCCUUUCUCUCCGAGAUCCACAAAAUCCGAUUGCCUUAUGAAUUUUUAUAUAUUAACAUUAAGAUUUGAGCCGAUUGAAGUCAAAGUGGGAAUCUAUCAAUGUGGUUUGUUUUGAGUUAAUUACAAUAAUCGAUCCUAUAUUUUUAUCUGUUUGAUUCUUCUAGGCAACAAAAAACAAUUUCUUUUCUUAUUAAUUCAAGUGGCAAUCCUAAAUCCAAACAUUAUAUGUGAAAAAACUCAAAUAAUAUUAUCAUCAUAGGGAUGACAAUGGGCAGUUCUUUUGGGUAUCACCUCGCCUUGCUCCUAGUGGGAAAGGUUUGAGAUAAAGAUAAAGGUUUGAAGGAAGAUUCCACUUGUGACUGGGAUUAUGGGAAAUGUCAAGGAAGCUAUCCCUUUCUCUCCGGCUACAAGAUAAAUUUUACGGCUCCAAUUAUUUUCUCUAGCUACAACCUAAAUUUUGCAGUUCCAAUCCCAAAGAUUUGAGUCUUGUAGAAGCCUCUUUCUCCUCAGCAUUAUGGGAAAAAGAGGAGGCAGAAUGGAGGAUCCAUGGCCAAGGUCAUUCUCUCAUGGGUGGCACAGAAGCUCUCUGUUCUGGUCAUUCAAGAAUCAGGCCCUUUGAAUGGACUUGAAGAAAAGGUCAAUUCCAUCUACUUGGAACUGGGUUCUUCAUUGAGAGAACCGUCAGAAUUAGAGGAGUUCAGGGGCAUUGCCUAUGAUAUAGAGGAUGUCAUUGAUGACCUGACACUGAAAUCAGCAGCAACAAGGAGCACAGGAGUUCACAUGAAGCUGGAGCAGAUCAAGGCUAAGAUCUAUGAUGUCAGUAGAGGACCAGCUUCUUACGCUUGGAUACCAACUCAACCAGUAGAGGAUCAGAACAUAUCCAACACAGUUGUUUCCCCAGUUAUAGAGAAAGUUACAGGUCUUUUUGCUCAGUUGUCAAGCUUCGUCCUCAAGUGAGAAGGAAGGCCAGAAGGUUACAGGAUGAAUUUAGGUUAAUGAAUCAUUGUUAUGAUCUAGAAUCAGAAUGUUUAGAUGAAAGUGGGAUGAUAUGGAUGGAGGAACUCUGCAACAUUUCUAUUUAUGCAGCGGAUGUAAUUGGGUUCUACAGCAACAGGAGGAAACAGUAUAAAAGGAAGGGAACUUUAAGGAGAGUCAUCGCAGCCUUUGACAGAUUGUGGUCUCAGCUUCGUCUAGGCAUGGAGUUGGAUGCAAUCAAUGCUAGGAUUCAGGACAUUCCUGAGAGCUUGUACGUGGACAAAUAAAUUCAAAAGAAAAAUCUAUACUAAUUGAAUAUACAUCAGUAACUUGGAAGAAGUCUAAUAAAAAUCCAUAAGCUAGCGGACAAACACUUGCAGACAUCAAUUUUAUAUCUUUCACAGGAGGAAUCUCUCCCCUUUAAUUUGCCCAAUAUAGAUAUUUUUCCAUUUCAUCCAUACCGAUUAUUUCCUUAAUUUUCUUCCUUAAUUAUUAACACAAUAAGGUAAAGGUUCCCCUUAAAUAAAACAAAGCACAAAUGGGACUAACAAUUCUGGUGAAAGACUCCACCUUCAAAAUGAAACUUAAAGAAAAUGCAACAAUGGUGGAACUCUCACCACCUGAAUUGAAACUUAUUUGCAUGAAAGGAAUGAAAAUCAUUUUUGAGAAAAAAGGAAUUUCCAUGGAAAUGGAGAAAAUCCACCCAACCUCUUUGUCAUCAGCAUUCCUAAUUCACAAUCAGCCUAAUCCUGGCAUACAUGUUCAGUAAUACCAAAAUGAGCCAUGAGAAGCCAGACAUGAGUGAGCAGCUCUCCACCUUGCGUUAGCUCCUUGGCAUGUUCAUUCCGUGGACAGUGACAUGCAGCAUAACAUAGCAUCUCUACCCACACAUGACUCAUCAUCUCCCAUUUCUUUUCAUUGUUCCAUUUUUCUGACUCCAGAGAUUGCAAAGACUUGGCCAGCCUACAGGCAUCGAGUAACACUGACUUGCUUCCAUCUCCUUUCGCUUUCAAUGGUGGAAUUUCAGUGUUCACUUGAAGAAGAAACCUUUUACAAGAUUGGAUAUUUCUAUCUUUUACAGUCUGAAAAAUCUUUGUGGCCUUAGCACAGCUGUCUCUAAAUCGGAUUUGUCCAAUUCCAGGAGGAAGCAUAAGGGGGCGCUUGAGCAGAAGAUACACCAUAUAAUCUGAUAGCAGCUUGCUUGCUUCACGGUUUGAGUUCUUGGCAGGGCUUGAUUUUUUGUUUAGAUCAGUAUCGUAGCAGAGAUCAGUUGCUAGGUGCCAGACUAGAAUGCACUCAUCGAAUUCUCCCUCAAUGCUCCAAUGUAAGGUAGAGAAACAUUUCAUCUCUUCUAGUGUCCGUUUUCCUCUGUCAGCACAUAAUUCCUUGGCUUCCUUAAUGCCUGGGGUAUGCUUUGAUUUCUUCUGAAGCUGUUCAAAGAUCAUUUUUUUCAAAUAUUUGGGGACAUCUGAAUUCUUAGAAGAACACUUCAACAUCUGAGAAAUGCGAAAGAACUUCCUAACCUCACUGAACUUGAUAGGCAAUUUUUUGAAGCUGUAACUUAUUAGAUUGUACCGUGCCAUGGAAUCAGACCAUCUCUUGUUUGCAGGGAAGAGAUAAGGUAGUCGGCAACUAGAUAUGGCUUCACAGAUAAGAGUCACUCGUGUUCUUUCUUGUUUGUUCAACCAAAUCGUGGUCCAGUCAGAGGAACACAGUAGAAUAAUAGAAUAGAUCUCCAGAACAAUUGCUCCAGCCAGCAACAACCAUGUUAUAAUCACGUCAGUAGUUGAGUACUCAUGCUUGUCAAUUAUCAAGAAGCCGAUGAAUGUUGUGUUGGGAAUUGUCCCAAAUUCCUAAUUAGUAAAUAUUCCUUUUUUGUAAAGAACAUUGUAUAGAAUAUUUCUAGGUUGAUAUAUUAUUGUAAUAUUAGACUUCCUUAUUCAAUAAGGAAGGUUGUUGGAAAUAUCUCUAUAAAUAUUCUGGGUCAUGAGGGGAAAAAGUUAUGAGAUGGAGAUGGGCCUGGGCCUAUAGAGACUAUACGAGGUGGAUAGAGAUGUGAGGAAGAACGGGAGGUACCUGGUGGAGCGAGAGGGCUCGUAGUAAGGUAUGGAUACAAGGAGUGGAGAAACAUGGGAUGUUUCGGGAACCCAAUAGUUGUAUCUGGUUUUAUCCUCUGUAAUAUUCUCUAUCGUAUAGUGGAAUUAUUCUCUCUCAUCCGUGGACGUAGACAUGGUUGGCCGAACCACGUUAAAACCUCGUGUACCGUAUGUGUGAUUGUUUUUCUUUGGCGUGUGUUUUCUCUAAUUUUUUUGUUUCUCACGGGUUGGGAAUUCGGUUUAAUUCCCUACAACUGGUAUCAGAGCUUGGGUUGAAGAUUUCUGGAAGAGUAAAAGAUCACAAAGCACACAAGAUGAAAACAAAAGGAAUUUUCACUGAAGGUGGAGUCAAUUGCUCUUUCGUGGUGAUAUGAUACAAAAAGGUUUGUGUCAUGGAGAGAUUGAAGAUUAACUUCAUGUAAUUUGGUCCAAGGUGGAGAUUGUUGGGAAUUGUCCCAAAUUCCUAAUUAGUAAAUAUUCCUUUUUUGUAAAGAACAUUGUAUAAAAUAUUUCUAGGUUGAUAUAUUAUUGUAAUAUUAGACUUCCUUAUAGAAUAAGGAAGGUUGUUGGAAAUAUCUCUAUAAAUAUUCUAGGUCAUGAGGGGAAAAAGUUAUGAGAUGGAGAUGGGCCUAUAGAGACUAUACAAGGUGGAUAGAGAUGUGAGGAAGAACGGGAGGUACCUGGUGGAGCGAGAGGGCUCGUAGUAAGGUAUGGAUACAAGGAGUGGGGAAACAUGGGAUGUUUCGGGAACCCAAUAGUUGUAUCUGGUUCUAUCCUCUGUAAUAUUCUCUAUUGUAUAGUGGAAUUAUUCUCUUUCAUCCGUGGACGUAGGCAUGGUUGGCCGAACCACGUUAAAACCUCGUGUACCGUAUGUGUGAUUGUUUUUAUCUUUGUGUUCUUGAACUAACAUCGUUGGCAUCAAAGCUUCCGCUGGCACAACAUGUUGAGAUUGUUGGAAAUAGACAGAUGAAACGGAGUAGGAGAUCGAAUUUAUCAUAAGCCUUCAUUGGCUUGGUAUAGAAGAUGUCAUACAUGAAUCCAAGCUCAAUCUCAAUCACUUGGAAAGCUUCUGUCCAAGAUAUAUUCUUGAAGUAGGACUUGCUUUGUUCAAGGGCUGUCGGCUCAAGGACGAGAUCUGUAAAUAAACGCUUGAACUUGGGGAAGAAUUUGUUAGCCUUUUGCAAAGGGACUGCAUCUGGGAUACUUUGGUUACUGGGGUCUGGCGAAGGUAUAUAGUCGUCAAUGACCUCUGGGCCUGGAUGACGGAUAAUGGAAUCUCUAAAAUGAUCCAUGCUUCCGGACUUUAGAAACAAAGUUUUCUCCCCAAACUUGAUCAGUCCUGUCACAAACAUUGAAUAGGUUAGAAUAUUGAGUAGUGUGCGCUUCCAGGACCUUAAAAAGAUGCUCAAUGCCCACAGAAACAUCAAGAGUAGAUGAAUGAAGGGUCUUAUCCAUAAUUCAUCAUCUGCCAAAGAAUAGGCUGUGAUGGUGUCCGGGCCUCCAAGGUGGUGUAGCAGAAAUGGUAGCCAAAAUGCCCUUAUCAUAUCGUUUUGUUGUGAUGAGUAAUCGUUUCCAGCUCCCAGGCACUUGAAGAGUACGCCAAUAAAAAUAUCAAACACCAAAUCUUUGGUUGUGUAAGCUAGCCAAAUGGUGAAUCUAAGCAACUUUCCGGGUGUAUAUUUUCUCCUGUUGCCCAGGAGGACGAGCUCAAUUUGUAAGAGGAGGCUGACUAAAACCAAUCCACGGAGUAGCCACUCAUUAAGAAAUCUAACCACAAUUACAGGCAAAAUUUCUUGUACAGUCCUCCUAUUCAUGAUGAUCAUGCAGCCAAUACCUGAAAAUAUAAAAAUAAAUUAUCAGAUUAAUACAGAAGAUCUGAAUGUCAAUUGAUCAUUAGAAAUGACAGAGUGAAUUGAUGAGGAACAGAAUUCAGCAUGCUCAAAACCUAAACCUUUUGACACAUCUCAAUCAUACAAUACUACUAUGCUCUUUUCUUGUAGAUAUUACUUGCUCUUGACCCAAUGGACCUUUAAAGCUUUAAAAGUAGGAUGUAUCCAUAUACAAUAUAGAGAUCACAAUGAUUUCCGUAUAAACACAACAUCCUCAUUGUUCCAUGGGAUUGCAGGGUGGAUAGAAAAAGUUUUACAUUAGGGUCGAGGUUAGGGAUCACAUGUAGAGAAGCAUUGCAUGUGGAGGGAUUCGCUCCUCUCCAUAUAAAUAUUAUUUGCUCUAGAUGCAAUGCAUGUCUAUAAGAUUAAGAGAAGUUGUACACUACUACAAACUUUUUUCCCUCUAAGACGGUAUCACACUAUUAAUAAUUGACUAAGUAAAAAAUUCAAAAUUUUGCAUCCUCUCUUGCUUUCAACACAGUGAUUAGCACAUCUAAGCAAUUUCUUCCAUGAGCACAUUUUUGGAAAUGGGGAGUGAUUUUUGUCAGAGGGUGUUUCUGAUUUCAAAUAGUAAAACAAAAUGCACUUCUAAUUUCAAUUUUCAAAUAAUGAAGGAAACUAAUUACUUCACUACAAACCAGAUUCCGACUUGCUUGCCUAGAAAAUAGACACUGACACAACUGCAUGACAUUACAACUACAUAGAAAAAUGAUUUUCUCAGCAACCAAACGGAGCUCAACCCAACACCCAAACUCAUUCAGAAUCCCACAAACUUACAAAUAACAAUAACCUCAAACUCAUUAGUAUUCAUAUGGGCCAACAAACAAGGAUUAAACCGAAGCAAAUUUGUAUGUAAUCUAAGCCAAAGAAAACAUACCCACUUUUCUCCGAGUCUGUGAAUGUGAUGUGAGGGAGAGAGACACUAAGAAGUGCCAUGGGAGGUCAAGAGUGCAAGCAGAAAUAGUGAGUGAAGUCUUCCCUCCGUCAUUUUUUUUUGGUGUGGCAUCUCAGUGAGACCUACUUCUUGGUUUAAAAUUGCAGAUACGGUCUCUCUGUUAUUACUUUAAUUAGCGCGGGUCUGGAGUUUUGUGUAGUAACGUGGAUGUCAUUUAAAAUAGAAAAAGAUGCAAAAAACUCUUGGAUUUUACGUUGGUCCCAAGCGUGUUCCCGGUGGCCAGAUGUUUGUCCGAGAUUGACAAAAUCUAGGUGACCCUAUUAAUUUUUAUAUAUUAACAUUAAGAUUUGAACUAAUUAAACUCAAAGUGGGAAUCUAUGGCUUGUUUUGAGUUGAUUACAAAAAUCGAUCCUUCAUUUUGAUCUGUUUUGAUUCCUCUAGAUAACAAAAAUGAAUUUCUUUUCUUAUUAAAUCAAGUCCUAAUCAUAAAGCCAAACAUUAUAUGCCAAAACACUCAAAUAAUUUUAUCAUUAUAGGGAUGACAAUGGGCAGUUCUUCGGGGUACCCGUUUCGUCUUGCUCCUGGCGGGAAGGGUUUAGGAUAAAGAUAAAUAGAUUUGAGAUGAAUUUAAGAAAUUUUUAAAAAUUUAGGAUGAGUUUGAGGCGGGUUCAGGUAGGACUUUGUCCCACCCCAUCCUGAGUACAUACGAUGCCUUUAAAUUAUAAUGUUAUAUAUCCUUAAAAUCAUAAUAUUAAUGUUGUUAUUUGUAAUGUCAUAAUCACAUGUUAUGUUUUGUUUUCAAAAAGCACUAAGAAAAAAAACUUGUUAAGGAAAUUGAUUUUCUAUAUUUGGUUGUCCUAUGAAAAAUAUUAAAUAAAAUUAAAUAAAAUUAAAAACUUUUACAUUUUUAAAUAAUUCAAUCUUGAUAUUGAAAAGUUCAAAUAAAUGAAAUGAAUUUGAAGUGACAUAAAAUAUUUAUUGACUUUAAAUCUGAUUUUUAUUUUCUUUUAUUUUUUUUCCUUUAUUUUUUUUCCUUGCAUUUUUAUAUAAUCAAACAAAGUCAUAGUGUAUUUAUUUAGGAAGUUUCUCUGGCAUGAUUUCUUUAUGAUCUUUCUAUGUUCAUUAUUUUUUGGGAUAAUGGAUUCCCACCUCAAGUAUUAAGAUAUAUUUAUUUAAGUUUUCAAAGUGAAUAAAUUAGUGAGGACUUGAUUAUUUGUAUCCUUUGGAGGGUUUUUCUAUAUUAUAUUUGGUGUUCUUUUUUUGAUUGAAUGUUUUUGAAUUAUUAUUAUUCAUUAUUAUUAGGAUGUUAUUAUUGUUGAGAGGGAAAAUUUUGAUCUUUAAUUCAUUUAAUUACUAAUCCAUCCAGGAUUAACCCAUGAAAGAAUUUGAAUUGGACUAGAUAUAAAAAUUUAUUUCAUAAUUUAAAAAUUCUCUUGAAAACAAAGAAUUUAAAAACGUUGAGAAAAAAAACAUGAUUUUUCUUUACAUAUUAAUUAAGUACAGUUGGUUGACACAUGUUUUUAUUUAUUUAUUUAUUUUUAUAUAUAUAUUUUUUAAUGAAGUUAAUUAGUUCAACUCUCUUGAGUGCAUGUUACGUCUGUUAUCAUUAUAAUCUAAAAAUUUAAUUUAAAUUAUUAGAUAAUAUGUCAACAAAGCAAAGAAUCUUCGCAAUGAGAAAACCUUAAAUUUAGUAUCUUCAUAAUAUUAAAAUUGAAAAAUAAAGUUGUGGGCCUAUCAAGUUGAUUUAUAGCCAUUCAAUAUAGUGUGAAUGUUAAUGGAUAGUGAAUUUUAAUAAUAUUGGAAUUAGUAGAUAGAUAAAGUUGGAAGAUAUAUGAAUUUUAGAGUAUGUUUGACAAUAUUUCUAGGAAACAUUUUUAAUAUUUCUAAUGGUUAAAAGUUUUUAUCAAAAGAAUUAUUUUCAAAUGCUAAAAUAACUAGAAAUAGUACUUCCCAAGAUCACUACUAAAUAAUCUUCAUCAUCAAUUCUUUUGGAUCUCAACAUUGUUAUCAACAUGCUAAAAUUGAAGGAUUUUUUUCUUUCCUGACUUUCUAAAUGAAGUCGUAUUCCUUUAACUAUCAUGUGAAGCCAACUUAGGCUAAAUUUUAGUUUAUAUUUCCAAGGGAUGGUUAUUCAUAUACUAAAAUUAAUGAGUGUAUACCAUAUGAAUGGUUAUUGAUAUGCUUAUGACAUUUUUAAAUUAAUACAUCAAACUCAUGGGUAUGGAUCUUUCUCACUCACGUGAUAUCAUCUUCAUUCAUCUACCACUAUUAAAUAAUAUUUUAUUACUAAGAGAACAUGCGUCCUAGGCCUUCUAUCACCGGGAUAAUCCAAUGAUAAAAAUAUAAAAGAAAUAAAGAGAGAGAAAGACAAACAAGGUACAUUUAACUAUUGAACUGCCAAUUUUCUUAAAAGAAGUUUAGGGUUUAUUUGACAACUGUUUUCAAGAAUAAUAUUUUGUUCUCCAGAAAAAAAAAAAAAAAAAACAUGUUAGAUAACUAGAAAUUAUUUUCUGUUUUAUGUUAUUAAGAAUAAAAAACACAUUAGGCUUUUAACAAUUUUAUUUUUUUUGUGGUUCAGAGUCAAGAGGGUUGAGAAGUUUCAUACUCUUCAUUGUUGUCAGGUUCUCCUUUGCUUAGUAUUUCAAUUAAUCACUACUCUGAUUACUUAGCAGAAAUGAUACAAUUUAACUAGACAUAGCUUCUGGGGUGUGGGUUCAGCUAAUAAAACAUACCCUUUUUUGAGGUGAAAUUUGUUUUGAACUUGUAAUAAUAUAAUUUCAAGAUUGUGGUUCUCGCAAUAAGCUUCGAGUGUGAGAUCAAUUAAUCAAUCUGAUCAUCUGUGAAGUCUAUUGUUGAACAAUCAAACUAAGCUUAAACGAAUAAGAUCGAGAAGGCUAUAAACACAGAAAUGGUGAAAGCUUCCCACCAAGCUUUCACCAAGAUGUAUUCUGGAACAAGAAUGAACCAGAUCUGCAAAGAAGUGCCUGAAAGUGUCAAAAAUGUAGUAAGCCUCAUGCAGCAUGGCUGACUUGGGGGUAAUGCUGCUCCCUGCAUCUGUAUUAGAAUGACCUACUGCAGUUUCCUCUAAUAUCACUGUCCCCAGCUGUGAAAUCUUAAUGUCUAAUGCCAUUUGAACUAUACUUGUCCGUGAAUUUUAGAUAACUAGGCACUGGGUCAGGACAAGUUAGCAAGACUUCUCAUGUCUUUUUUAAUAAAAAGAUAAUUACCCUUUUUUAAUUAUUUAUCAUGAUUUGGUGGUAAUAGAGCCCUUGUAUAUAUGAGGAUGUGAAGUAGAGGUCCUAUUUCAUGAAGAAUAAUGAGUCGGUAAGAUCAAUCAAGGUGUAGACCCCGCAUUUCGGCUCAUGCACUUCAACUCGAUGACGAGCUCUUUUUUUAUUUUAAAAUGAUUUUAUUGAUUUAUAAAAUGACUUGGAGUCGCUAUUUAUUUUUGUUUAAUUUUUAAAAAGGUAAACAAAAUAAGAAGGAAAACCCUAAGUAUGAUUUCUUAAUUUAGAAAAGGUGGUCUGUGAAAAACCGGAUUAGGCUCGGGGGUCAAGUUACUUAUCGGAAAGGUACGGUAAAGACCGUAGCACCUCUCUAAGUCCCUAAAAACGGGUCUCUACUAAUAAAAUAAAGCAAUCAUGACAAUUAGUAAGAAGAUCAAUGGAUAUCCAAAAAGAUCAUGCACAUACGAGAAUCUAAACAUGCAUAAAAAUGACCAGAGUGAGAAUGAGAGUGUAUCUUAACAAUGAGCCACAAUGUGCUAUCAAUAAAGGAGGUUAGUGCACAAAUAAUGGACACAAAACAUAGCUCACAUGCCACUAAAUCGAAUACGAAAUCAUCAUAUAUCACAAUUCAAUCAAAUUGAUUUUCAAAGGAAACAUCCAAUAAUGUUGGGCCCCCACCAAAGCCCGUUUUAAAUCCAUUCCAUAAAUUUCAUCAUUUGGAAUUACAAAAUUGAAUUAAUGCUUAUUUUAAAACCUUUCAAAAAUCAUGGAAUUUAUGAAAAUUGCUUGCCAUAAGGGAAAAUGGCAGCAAAUUUUUAUUAAAAAGAAAGAAAUUUUUGGAACGUAAAAAAAAUAAAAAUAAAUUCUAAGGAUGAACGAGAAUUUGAAGGAUCAAGAUUAUUAAAAGAACUAACAUUUUGAAGGUAAUUUGCAAAAUGGGACUGAGAAAACAUUUUUUUUUAAAAUCAAAGAGAAAAAAAAAGUAAAGGGAGAUGACACAUGCAUUAAGGUGGCCAUGCGGACCAUUGCUCAACACAAGAGGCUAUAGCCAUUCCCUUGUCCUUACUGCCAUAUCAGUGUGACCUAUACUGCAUGGGGCGUCUGAACCUUGAAACCCUUUCAUAACCAUAUGAAGGAUAGAAAAGGGGGCCCAUGCCUGGAAGGUCUUCGUCUUCAACUGGCGGCCAUGCAAUCCCGAUUCAUUUAAAAGAGGAGCAUUCUGAACACUCUAUCUCAACAAACUCCACAUAAGCAAAUCCUUUACUAAUCCAAAUAGAAUAUUAGUUGAGAGCGUUCUUUCAUGGGCCUCAUCCACGAUCACCACGCUGUAGCUUGCCAGAUCUGGUUCACCAAGGAAUUCUCUCAAUAACAUUCCAUCAGUCAUAUAUUUUAGAACCGUCUUUUCUGUCGUGCAAUCUUCAAAACGGAUAGAAUAGCCAACCUCAUGCCCAAGUUUAACGCCCAUUUCCUGAGAAACUCGAGCUGCAACACUCAUAGCAGCAACUCGCCGUGGCUGGGUACGUCCAACCUUUCCACGCUUUGUGUACCCAGCUUCAUGAAGAUAUUAAGGUAUCUGUGUGGUUUUCCCAGAACCAGUCUCCCCAACAAUAACAAGAAUCUGAUGAUCAUCUACUGCUUUGAGCAAUUCAUCUCGAUAUGGAUAGAUAGGCAACAUUUUUCUAUCUUCCUGAAGUUUCUCUAAUUCUGAUUUUGCGACAUAAUCAUCAUGAGGCUCAGCAAAUAAACCAUCUUCAAACUAGUCACCAUCCAUCACAGAUGCCUUGAUGAAUUCAAUCUGGUCCUCAAAUACAAACUGACAGUCAUCUGACUUUUGGUUUUUAUCUUUUAAACCAAAUUUUAAGGUUGCCUUUCCAAUUUGAUGCUCCUCCCAUGCCUCUUGUUCUGCAAAUGGAUUAAUCUUAUCAUUUGCACUUGAGUCCCUAUAACACUGCAAAGCCACAGCAAUUCUCGUCUCCUGAUUUACACCCCCUUCCUGAUCAUAAGCUUCAAACAUUCUAUACUCAUUUAUAUCAUCAGUUUCUUCUGACCUCUUCUUCACAAGAUCGUAUAUUUCCCUUUUGUACCUUAGUUCACGCUGUUCUGCUUCAAUCAACUUCACGCCAUCAAGGAGAUAUUGUUCAUCUUCUAUAUCAUCUCUAAGCUCCUCCAGUUUCUUUUGCUCCAUUUUCUUUAAAUAUUCUUGUCUUGAAACUUUUCUUAAAGCCGAAAUGUCAUCUUCCUCCAUAGCAUUAGAUCUCCGGAUUGCUUCUUCUUCCUCCUUCCGUGAUAACUUUGGCUCUGUUAACUUUCGUGUCCCUGCUGCAUCCCGUUGUCUUAUAUUCUGCUAUUGUGUUAACGAGCAUCGGAUUGUGGCCCUUCCGGUAUCGAGCCAGCCAUGAAUCAUCAAACACCACACCCUCCAUGCAUUUUCAUUCAUUCCCCACCGACCCAUCACCCUAUCAGCACGUGGAACCCUCUUAGUCAAGGAUGAUACUGCUACGGCCAAUUAAGCUUCGCUUCUUGGCUGUGGCUCUCGACCUUUGGCUGAACUGGAUUCAUAGGUUCAAUAAACACAGUGAACGAAAUAGCUAGGCAAUCCCAUUCCCAAUGGAAGAUGCAGCCAUGGUUUCCCAUGCGAAGUUGUGGGAAGCUUUACUGGGAUCAUAGAACAAGGACGCAACACCCAUAGCUACCUUCAAAAUGUCACUGACAAGACUGAAGUUGCUGAAUCAUUUGGAUGUUCUUGUGAUCAAUUCUGCUCUUAGAUGACAUCCAAACUUUGAGAAUAUGUAUCCCUUGUAAGAAUUCACAGCCAGCCCUGAUUUCUGUCUCUCUCACAGCCAAUGUAUUGAACAAGAUCCAGGAAUAAAAGGCAACCACAGAAGAGAAGAAACCAUAGGAACAGAGCAUGAAAGAAAACAAAAUAAAAAAAACAUCCUCAAAUGAGGCUUCACAUGGGUCAUCAGUGAGCCCUCUGAUUAAGUGAGAAAAACCACAUCAAAUACGACUAUUGGCAUGAUUCUUAGGUAUUUCGCAAUAGAGGCAAGGUAUAUUAAGAUCAACAAUGGCAAACACAAGUUCAAGAUUAUAUAUCAACAAGCAACAAGUGGCCUUCAUCAUUCACCCCAAGCAAACCAAUAAAUAUCCAAAUAUCGACAAGAAAUGUAGAGGGAUAGUAAGGAUCCGAAUCAAACAAUAAACCUGUUGCAUUCAUACCUGAGAGUACCCUUCUUUAGUAAAGCUCUGUUCAGCUUCAAACACCUUAAAUCCACCUCCAAUGCCAACGAAACUAAUGAAACAGUGGAGCCAUCCUCCUCUACUCUCCAAAUAUACAGCUCUCCCUCUCUCUCACUCUCUGGUUAUCUCUCAAAACUUUUCUUCCAAGGUCCCACGAAAACUCUCCCUGUUACUCCCCUCCAGCUUGCUACCUCCAAGCUAAACGAAAUCCCCCUCAAAAUAUCUCUCUCAAUCAGCAAGAAAAAAGCACCCUUUCACCUACAGCUGGCUACCCUCAGAACAGAAUACACGCUCCUGCAGAAUCUCCCUUUACAAGUGUCCCUUUUCCAUUAGCUCAUUCAAAACACUAGCUGAUUCCCUAGCAGCCGAUCAGGAGGCAGCACAUGGCUCUUUGAGAGCCCUCCACCUGGCAAAAAUGAGCUGCAGGAACAUGAAAAAAAGGAGCCCCAAAAAUGGGGGUCUACACAAGGUCUCAUCAUGAUGGGUUCAAAGAUGUAGCUCAUUUUGAGCUCAACAUUUAGAGAUUUAGAGCAUAAGGUCUUGUGUAAGGUUGAAAAUGCAUUCCUUUUCUUUACAUUAGACAAUUGCUUAGAACAACAUCUGAGACACCAUUGUUCUGUCUAAGCUUUUAUUGGAGAUGAAUGAAGCAAUGGAUGUGAGUAGGUCUUUCAAUGUUCUGUUCUACUUCUUUGUUGACAUCAUGUAGAGAGGCCUAAGAAUUUUUACAAAAAUAAUAAUAAUAAUAAUAAUAAUAAUAAUAAUAAUUAUGAAAGUGAAUGUAAUUUAUAAAUUUGAAGUAGUCUUAGAGCUGUUUAGAUGAUUUGUGGCAUAUCAAACUUAUUGACUAGGGUAUUGGCCUUUCUCUUAAUUUUCAUCAGUGUUCCUAAUCGAUAUCCACCUCUGUCCUUGCAUGGCCUUGCAAAAUCUUGAAAUGUUCAGCUAUACCAAAAUGAGGCAUUAGAAGCCAAAUAUGAGUGAGCAGCUCUCUGCCUUGCCAUGAUGAUUCCAUCAAGCCAUUUUUUGAGCACUCACAGAACUUGGUUAACUGUGGGAACUUUAUUUUUGCCUUUAUUCUCCCCUGCUGCAGGCUAAACCUCAUGGUUCUGAGACCAAAGAAUUUUGUGAGUGUGGAAAAAAAAAAAACAAAAUUGGGGUAAGAUGGACUGGAGUGGGUUAAACAAAAAGGAUCAAUUAAUAAAUCCGAGUCAACCUCAGUCUAUAGGUUAUAGCCUUUUUCAAACCUCUUGGAUUUCUCUCGCCUAUAAUGUCAUGGAAAUUUCUUGAUGAUUUCUUCUAAACUAGGGUCUUGUAUGCUGUAGCAUAAGCCCUACUUCUAUAUCAUUAAUUCUGUAAAGGAACCACUAGAUCAUAUAACAAAUUCUGACCCUCUUCUUAAUUGCUCUUCUAGGUAGCAACUUUAGUGAAAUUGCAUUAAAAAAAUUCUACAUGGCUUGUAACUUGGCAAUCACCAUUGGAGACAGUUUGUUUAUUUGUUUGUUUUGGCCAUACCAUAGAUUUGUUCACUUGUGAGAGUCCAUUGUCAUAAGAAACAAAAUAGUAGGCUUGUCGCUUGUGCUCCCUGGCUACAUUUCAACAAAAUGUUAAGAUUGCUUUCAAAGGGGACGAAGUGAAGCCCUUUUUCUAAUCUUUUAUAGCUGUGUUGUUGGGGAAUAGUGUCAUGGUGUGAAAUGAACUACUUAAAUCAUUAAUUAAUAAGGUUAUUCCCUGAGAAAUAUGCAAAUCAAUGGUUUUAGUUGAAGGAAUAUUCCACAUGUGACUGGGAUUAUGGGAAAUGUCAAGGAAGCUAUCCCUUUCUCUCCGGCUACAAAAUAAAUUUGACGGCUCCAAUUAUUUUCUCUAGCUACAACCUAAAUUUUGCAGUUCCAAUCCCCAAGAUUUGAGUCUUGUAGAAGCCUCUUUCUCCUCAGUAUUAUGGGAAAAAGAGGAGGUAGAAUGGAGGAUCCAUGGCCAAGGUCAUUCUCUCAUGGGUGGCACAGAAGCUGUGUGUUCUGGUCAUUCAAGAAUCAGGCCCUUUGAAUGGACUAGAAGAAAAGGUCAGACAUCAAUUUUAUAUCUUUCACAGGAGGAAUCUCUCCCCUUUAAUUUGCCCAAUAUAGAUAUUUUUCCAUUUCAUCCAUACCAAUCAUUUCUUUUAUUUUCUUCCUUAAUUAUUAACUACUUUUAUGCAAAUGGAUGUAAGAAUGUUUCAGGUUCCCCUUAAAUAAAACAAAGCACAAAUGGGAGUAACAGUUCUAAGGAAAGACUCCACCUUUAAAAUGAAACUUAAAGCAAAUGCAACAAUGGUGGAACUCUCACCACCUCAAUAGAAACUCCUUUGAAUAAAAGGAUUGAAAACCAUUUUUGAGAAAAAAGGAAUUUCCAUGGAAAUGGAGAAAAUCGACCCAAUCUCUUUGUCAUCAGCAUUCCUAAUUCACAACCAGCCUAAUCCUGGCAUACAUGUUCAGUAAUACCAAAAUGAGCCAUGAGAAGCCAGACAUGAGUGAGCAGCUCUCCACCUAGCCUUAGCUUCUCGGCAUGGUGAUUCCUUGGACAGUGACAUGCAGCAUAACAUAGCAUCUCUACCCACACAUGACUCAUCAACUCCCAUUUCUUUUCACAAUUCCAUUCCUCUUCUGUCUCCAGGGAUUGCAAAGACUUGGCCAG
rnacentral:lncRNA from 1 species